rnacentral:lncRNA from 1 species
UUUUGGGGUAUUACAGCUGCCCCUAUUCAAUCAACUGGAGACCCGGAAAGAAGAUGGCAGCUGCUUUCGUGCUUUCGAGGUAUCAAGGGAUUGAAUAAAAUAAAAACCCAAAAAUUUGCACUGAAAUGAAGUGACGUAACAAAGUCUGUCAGAAUCGGCAAAGAGGUGGUCUUGAAAGAAGAAUCCGUCUGGUACGGUGAAA